rnacentral:rRNA from 1 species
UGAACGCUGGCGGCGUGCCUAAUACAUGCACGUCGAGCGAACGGACGAGAAGCUUGCUUCUCUGAUGUUAGCGGCGGACGGGUGAGUAACACGUGGAUAACCUACCUAUAAGACUGGGAUAACUUCGGGAAACCGGAGCUAAUACCGGAUGAUAUUUUGAACCGCAUGGUUCAAAAGUGAAAGACGGUCUUGCUGUCACUUAUAGAUGGAUCCGCGCUGCAUUAGCUAGUUGGUAAGGUAACGGCUUACCAAGGAAACGAUGCAUAGCCGACCUGAGAGGGUGAUCAGCCACACUGGAACUGAGACACGGUCCAGACUCCUACGGGAGGCAGCAGUAGGGAAUCUUCCGCAAUGGGCGAAAGCCUGACGGAGCAACGCCGCGUGAGUGAUGAAGGUCUUCGGAUCGUAAAACUCUGUUAUUAGGGAAGAACAUAUGUGUAAGUAACUGUGCACAUCUUGACGGUACCUAAUCAGAAAGCCACGGCUAACUACGUG